GACGAACCGUGCAAACGUUGUUCGGAAUCACUGGGCUUAAAGGGCGCGUAGGCGGCCAACCACGUCCGGGGAUGAAAGGCGUUCGGCUUAACCGGACAAGUGCCUGGGAUACGGGUUGGCUUGAGGGAGGUAGGGGCCUGCGGAACUUCCGGUGGAGCGGUGAAAUGCGUUGAUAUCGGAAGGAACGCCGGUGGCGAAAGCGGCAGGCUGGAUCUCUACUGACGCUGAGGCGCGAAAGCCAGGGGAGCAAACAGG
rnacentral:rRNA from 1 species